UACGGAGGGGGCGAGUGUUGUUCGGAAUUACUGGGCGUAAAGGGCGCGCAGGCGGCCUGGCAAGUCGAGUGUGAAAUCCCUUGGCUUAACUGAGGAAUGGCGCUCGAAACUACCUCGCUGGAGGGCGGGAGAGGGAAGUGGAACUCUCGGUGUAGGGGUGAAAUCUGUAGAGAUCCGGAGGAACACCAGAGGCGAAAGCGGCGUCCUGGCUCACUGUUGACGCUCAGACACGAAAGCAUGGGGAGCGAACGGG
rnacentral:rRNA from 1 species